GUUUCAGGGUUAGGAGCCGGGGUUAAGGUUAGAAUUAGGGUUAAGGUUAGGAGCUAGGGUUCGUUUCAGGGUUAGGAGCCGGGGUUAAGGUUAGAAUUAGGGUUAAGGUUAGGAGCUAGGGUUCGUUUCAGGGUUAGGAGCCGGGGUUAAGGUUAGAAUUAGGGUUAAGGUUAGGAGCUAGGGUUCGUUUCAGGGUUAGGAGCCGGGGUUAAGGUUAGGGGAAAAUAUGAUUUUGAAAUGGACUGGGGUUCCCAUGUUGUGUUCUGUAAUAUCCUGCACAUUCUUCACUUUUUGCUGCACCAUAACGAGAUGAUGGUGUCCUGGUGAGGGAUGGCUUUCCACUUCUUCUCAUCAGCUCUGCUCUCAUGUGUCCCAAAUGGAGCCCUAUUCCCUACAUAGUGCACUACUGUGGUCCCUACAUACAGUCUUCAAGAACAAAAAUCUAUCUAGAAGCUAAAAGGGCUCUUCAGCUGUCCCCAUAGGGGGUACCCUUUGAAGAACCUUUCCGGUUCCAUGUAGAACCCUUUUGGGUUCCUUUCCACAUAGGGUUCUACACAGAACCCUAAAAAAAUAUUUAUAUAUAAUAUACCUGGAACCGUAAAGGGUUCAACCUGGAAGUGAGUGAGUAGAGUGGUUUACUUUAGCAGGGGCCAUGUCAAAGGUAAGAAAACAGCACUCCGGCCAAAGACCUCACUGAUUACGUAAUGGAGGCUGGCAGGAAUGCUGCUGACUCUCUGGUUUUACUGCCAAGACAAAUAGUUCCCUCCCAAAUUGUUCCCUAAAUAGUGCACUACUUUUGACUAGGGCCC
ensembl:lncRNA